GACAGAGGGUGCGAACGUUGUUCGGAAUUACUGGGCGUAAAGCGCAUGUAGGCGGCCGCGCAGGUCGGGUGUGAAAGCCCUGGGCUCAACCCAGGAAGUGCACUCGAAGCCGCGCGGCUCGAGUCCCGGAGAGGAAGGUGGAAUUCUUGGUGUAGAGGUGAAAUUCGUAGAUAUCAGGAGGAACACCGGCGGCGAAAGCGGCCUUCUGGACGAGGACUGACGCUGAGAUGCGAAAGCGUGGGGAGCAAACAGG
rnacentral:rRNA from 1 species